ACUGUGACAAGCAGAAGACAUGGGUUCUGAGCUCCUUGCCCCGUUUUCUUCAGGCACCAGAAGCCCAUAAACUCAUUCUGGCUAGCACACAGAUCUGUACCUUUGACCUCGGUGUUAUCAACACCAUGCUCUAACCAAGUGAGCUAACCAGCCGGUGCAUGACUGUUUUCAGAUGAUUCAGCUCCAGCUCUGCCCACAUGGCCACAUCACCCCUCCCACACUCACCGACAUCUCCUAGCAACCAGCUCGCCACCUGCAUCCUGCAGCCUGAGGUCCCCAUUGGCUCGGGU